rnacentral:tRNA from 1 species
AUUCUCUUAGUUUAACGUUAGAACAACCUCCCUUUAAGAGGUAAAUUUUGGUUAAAAUCCAGAAGAGGAUA